rnacentral:rRNA from 1 species
GUGGACGCUCGUCUCCGAGAUUAAGCCAUGCAUGCCCGUGACCGCAAGCGAACGGCGAACGGCUCAGUACUACUGCGACGAUCUGCCCUCCGCGGGCACUAACCGCGGCAACCUGCGGCUACGAGCGGAGGUUGAGACGCAGCCCCAUCAGCAAGUUGGCAGUGUAACGGACUGCCAAGGCGGCGACGGGUGACGGGGGGUCGGGGCCCUAUUCCGGAGAGGGAGCCUGAGAGAUGGCUGCCACGUCCAUGGACGGCAGCAGGCGCGGAAAUUGCCCACUCCUUUGGGGAGGCAGUUAGGAGACGUAGGAAAGAGAUGGCAGGGCAUAUGACUG